rnacentral:rRNA from 1 species
GCAGUAGCCACGGGAAUACGUAGGUGGCAAGCGUUGUCCGGAAUUAUUGGGCGUAAAGGGCUCGCAGGCGGUUUCUUAAGUCUGAUGUGAAAGCCCCCGGCUCAACCGGGGAGGGUCAUUGGAAACUGGGAAACUUGAGUGCAGAAGAGGAGAGUGGAAUUCCACGUGUAGCGGUGAAAUGCGUAGAGAUGUGGAGGAACACCAGUGGCGAAGGCGACUCUCUGGUCUGUAACUGACGCUGAGGAGCGAAAGCGUGGGGAGCGAGCAGGAUUAGAUACCCCUGUAGUCCCUGUCUCUUAUAC